UACGGAGGGUGCAAGCGUUAUCCGGAUUCACUGGGUUUAAAGGGUGCGUAGGUGGGUCUGUAAGUCCGUGGUGAAAUCUCCAAGCUUAACUUGGAAACUGCCGUGGAUACUAUAGAUCUUGAAUAUUGUGGAGGUAAGCGGAAUAUGUCAUGUAGCGGUGAAAUGCUUAGAUAUGACAUAGUACACCGAUAGCGAAGGCAGCUUGCUACACAAUCAUUGACACUGAGGCACGAAAGCGUGGGGAUCAAACAGG
rnacentral:rRNA from 1 species